rnacentral:tRNA from 1 species
GCCUCGGUGGCCUAAUGGAUAAGGCAUUGGCCUCCUAAGCCAAGGAUUGUGGGUUCGUGUCCCACCCGAGUUGUUAUGCU